rnacentral:rRNA from 1 species
AGGACGAACGCUGGCGGCGUGCUUAACACAUGCAAGUCGAACGGAAAGGCCCUGCUUUUGUGGGGUGCUCGAGUGGCGAACGGGUGAGUAACACGUGAGUAACCUGCCCUUGACUUUGGGAUAACUUCAGGAAACUGGGGCUAAUACCGGAUAGGAGCUCCUGCUGCAUGGUGGGGGUUGGAAAGUUUCGGCGGUUGGGGAUGGACUCGCGGCUUAUCAGCUUGUUGGUGGGGUAGUGGCUUACCAAGGCUUUGACGGGUAGCCGGCCUGAGAGGGUGACCGGCCACAUUGGGACUGAGAUACGGCCCAGACUCCUACGGGAGGCAGCAGUGGGGAAUAUUGCACAAUGGGCGGAAGCCUGAUGCAGCAACGCCGCGUGCGGGAUGACGGCCUUCGGGUUGUAAACCGCUUUCGCCUGUGACGAAGCGUGAGUGACGGUAAUGGGUAAAGAAGCACCGGCUAACUACGUGCCAGCAGCCGCGGUGAUACGUAGGGUGCGAGCGUUGUCCGGAUUUAUUGGGCGUAAAGGGCUCGUAGGUGGUUGAUCGCGUCGGAAGUGUAAUCUUGGGGCUUAACCCUGAGCGUGCUUUCGAUACGGGUUGACUUGAGGAAGGUAGGGGAGAAUGGAAUUCCUGGUGGAGCGGUGGAAUGCGCAGAUAUCAGGAGGAACACCAGUGGCGAAGGCGGUUCUCUGGGCCUUUCCUGACGCUGAGGAGCGAAAGCGUGGGGAGCGAACAGGCUUAGAUACCCUGGUAGUCCACGCUGUAAACGGUGGGUACUAGGUGUGGGGUCCAUUCCACGGGUUCCGUGCCGUAGCUAACGCUUUAAGUACCCCGCCUGGGGAGUACGGCCGCAAGGCUAAAACUCAAAGGAAUUGACGGGGCCCCGCACAAGCGGCGGAGCAUGCGGAUUAAUUCGAUGCAACGCGUAGAACCUUACCUGGGUUUGACAUGGAUCGGGAGUGCUCAGAGAUGGGUGUGCCUCUUUUGGGGUCGGUUCACAGGUGGUGCAUGGCUGUCGUCAGCUCGUGUCGUGAGAUGUUGGGUUAAGUCCCGCAACGAGCGCAACCCUUGUUCACUGUUGCCAGCACGUUAUGGUGGGGACUCAGUGGAGACCGCCGGGGUCAACUCGGAGGAAGGUGGGGAUGACGUCAAGUCAUCAUGCCCCUUAUGUCCAGGGCUUCACGCAUGCUACAAUGGCUGGUACAGAGAGUGGCGAGCCUGUGAGGGUGAGCGAAUCUCGGAAAGCCGGUCUCAGUUCGGAUUGGGGUCUGCAACUCGACCUCAUGAAGUCGGAGUCGCUAGUAAUCGCAGAUCAGCAACGCUGCGGUGAAUACGUUCCCGGGGCUUGUACACACCGCCCGUCAAGUCAUGAAAGUUGGUAACACCCGAAGCCGGUGGCCUAACCGUUGUGGGGGAGCCGUCGAAGGUGGGACUGGUGAU